AAAUAACUCUGCGGUAAUCAUGAAGUCGUGAAGCCGCGAUUCUAAUGUCUAUUAGGAAAAAUCCCAAUAAACAUGAGCGGACUAAUAAUAAAAAGAGAUUAUUCUCUGAAUUUUUUAUUUAUCACGAACGAUUCUACAGACAGUUUUUAAUAGGAUGAUAUUUAACGAAUUCCCUGCCUAAGUGCUUUACCACAUUUCCCAUACUCCCAGAGUGAAAUAGGCGCGUAUAAAAACAGCAAAAAAUGGAUUUUUGCUCAUAUUUCUAGCAAGGAAAGGAUCGUGUGUGAUAUCACCACACACGAUCGACAUUAGACAGGGGUUAGGUCGGGGUUGAGAAUCAGGAGUUGAGAA
rnacentral:ncRNA from 1 species